GAUGAACGCUGACAGAAUGCUUAACACAUGCAAGUCUACUUGAACUUCGGUUUGGGUGGCGGACGGGUGAGUAACGCGUAAAGAACUUGCCUCACAGUUAGGGACAACAUUUGGAAACGAAUGCUAAUACCUGAUAUUAUGAUUUUAGGGCAUCCUAGGAUUAUGAAAGCUAUAUGUGCUGUGAGAGAGCUUUGCGUCCCAUUAGCUAGUUGGAGAGGUAACGGCUCACCAAGGCGAUGAUGGGUAGCCGGCCUGAGAGGGUGAACGGCCACAAGGGGACGGAGACACGGCCCGUACUCCUACGGGAGGCAGCAGUGGGGAAUAUUGGACAAGGGACCAAAAGUCUGAUCCAGAAAUUCUGUGUGCACGAUGACGUUUUUCGGAAUGUAAAGUGCUUUCAGUUGGGAAGAAAAAAAUGACGGUACCAACAGAAGAAGUGACGGCUAAAUACGUG
rnacentral:rRNA from 1 species